rnacentral:rRNA from 1 species
CGCCGUCGCUUCGUAGGUGAGCCUGCGGAGGAUCAUUA